rfam:Deltaproteobacteria bacterium RBG_16_47_11 RBG_16_scaffold_14708, whole genome shotgun sequence.
CGCCCUGUAUGGCAACAUACCGGGUGAGUAAACAGAGGUCAGCAGAGGGCAUAGUAGGUCAUUUGACUGAAGGCC